GGAGUGAAAAGAACAUGAAACCGUAAACUUACAAGCAGUAGAAGGACGACUAAAACGUCUGCCUGCGUGCCUGUUGAAGAAUGAGCCGGCGACUCAUAGGUAGUGGCAGGUUAAGGCAGUGAAUGCUGGAGCCACAGUGAAAGCGAGCCUGAAUAGGGCGUUUGUCACUAGUUAUGGACCCGAACCCGGGUGAUCUAACCAUGGUCAGGUUGAAGCUUAGGUAAUACUAAGUGGAGGACCGAACCGACUGAUGUUGAAAAAUCAGCGGAUGAAUUGUGGUUAGGGGUGAAAUGCCAAUCGAAUUCGGAGCUAGCUGGUUCUCCCCGAAAUGCGUUUUGGCGCAGCGAUAAAUGUUAUAACUUAGGGGUAAAGCACUGUUACGUAUGCGGGCUGGUAAUUCGGUACCAAAUCGUUGCAAACUAAGAAUACUAAGUGUACAGUUUAUCAGUGAGACUGUGGGGGAUAAGCUCCAUUGUCAAGAGGGAAACAGCCCAGAGCACCAGUUAAGGCCCUUAAAUAAUUACUAAGUGAUAAAGGAGGUGGGAGUGCGAAGACAAUCAGGAGGUUUGCUUAGAAGCAGCAAUCCUUUAAAGAGUGCGUAAUAGCUCACUGAUCGAGUAAACCUGCGCCGAAAAUGAACGGGACUAAGUAAUUUGCCGAAACUGUGCGAUAUAUUCAAAAUAUAUCGGUAGGGGAGCGUUCUGUUGUAGAUUGAAGUAUUAGCGUAAGCGGAUAUGGACGAAGCAGAAGUGAGAAUGUCGGCUUGAGUAACGAAAAUAUAGGUGAGAAUCCUAUACCCCGAAAACCCAAGGUUUCCUCCGGAAGGCUCGUCCGCGGAGGGUAAGUCAGGACCUAAGGCGAGGCUGAAAAGCGUAGUCGAUGGACAACGGGUUAAUAUUCCCGUACCAUUAUUUAUUGAUAACGAGGGACGGAGAAGGCUAAGCUGGCCGGAUAUUGGUUACCGGUUUAAACGUUCGAGGUGUUGAGAAACGGAGAAAACGUUUUGAGCUGAGGCGUGAGUACGAGAUGCUACGGCAUUGAAGCAGUGUAUGUCAGACUUCCAAGAAAAGCUCGCAAUGUCAUAAAUAAAUAAUGCCUGUACCAUAACCGACACAGGUGGGUAGGUAGAGUAUACUAAGGGGCGCGAGAUAACUCUCUCUAAGGAACUCGGCAAAAUGACUCCGUAACUUCGGGAGAAGGAGUGCCUUAUUUAUAAGGUUGCAAUAACAAGAUCCAAGCAACUGUUUACCAAAAACACAGGUCUCCGCUAAGUCGUAAGACGAUGUAUGGGGGCUGACGCCUGCCCAGUGCCAGAAGGUUAAAGAAGUUGGUUAGCAUUAGCGAAGCUGAUAACUGAAGCCCUGGUGAACGGCGGCCGUAACUAUAACGGUCCUAAGGUAGCGAAAUUCCUUGUCGGGUAAGUUCCGACCCGCACGAAAGGCGUAAUGAUUUGGAUACUGUCUCGGAGAGGGGCUC
rnacentral:rRNA from 1 species